rnacentral:misc_RNA from 1 species
GAAAUGCGAUAAGUAAUGUGAAUUGCAGAAUACAGUGAAUCAUCGAAUCUUUGAACGCACAUUGCGCCCGCCAGCACUCUGGCGGGCAUGCCUGUUCGAGCGUCAUUUCAACCCUCAGAACCCCUUGCGGGAUCUGGCGUUGGGGAUUGGCAUCCAGCCAGCCCCGAAAUCUAGUGGCGGUCCCUCCGCGACCUCCCCUGUGCAGUAGCGAUACCUCGCAGCGGGACAGCGGUCUGACCACGCCGUAAAACCCCCAACUUCUCAAGGUUGACCUCGAAUCAGGUAGGAAUACCCGCUGAACUUAAGC